rnacentral:rRNA from 1 species
AUAACGGCGUCGAGCGGCGGACGGGUGAGUAAUGCCUAGGAAAUUGCCCUGAUGUGGGGGAUAACCAUUGGAAACGAUGGCUAAUACCGCAUGAUGCCUACGGGCCAAAGAGGGGGACCUUCGGGCCUCUCGCGUCAGGAUAUGCCUAGGUGGGAUUAGCUAGUUGGUGAGGUAAGGGCUCACCAAGGCGACAAUCCCUAGCUGGUCUGAGAGGAUGAUCAGCCACACUGGAACUGAGACACGGUCCAAACUCCUACGGGAGGCAGCAGUGGGGAAUAUUGCACAAUGGGCGCAAGCCUGAUGCAGCCAUGCCGCGUGUGUGAAGAAGGCCUUCGGGUUGUAAAGCACUUUCAGUCGUGAGGAAGGUAGUGUAGUUAAUAGCUGCAUUAUUUGACGUUAGCGACAGAAGAAGCACCGGCUAACUCCGUGCCAGCAGCCGCGGUAAUACGGAGGGUGCGAGCGUUAAUCGGAAUUACUGGGCGUAAAGCGCAUGCAGGUGGUUUGUUAAGUCAGAUGUGAAAGCCCGGGGCUCAACCUCGGAAUUGCAUUUGAAACUGGCAGACUAGAUUACUGUAGAGGGGGGUAGAAUUUCAGGUGUAGCGGUGAAAUGCGUAAAGAUCUGAAGGAAUACCGGUGGCGAAGGCGGCCCCCUGGACAGAUACUGACACUCAGAUGCGAAAGCGUGGGGAGCAAACAGGAUUAGAUACCCUGGUAGUCCACGCCGUAAACGAUGUCUACUUGGAGGUUGUGGCCUUGAGCCGUGGCUUUCGGAGCUAACGCGUUAAGUAGACCGCCUGGGGAGUACGGUCGCAAGAUUAAAACUCAAAUGAAUUGACGGGGGCCCGCACAAGCGGUGGAGCAUGUGGUUUAAUUCGAUGCAACGCGAAGAACCUUACCUACUCUUGACAUCCAGAGAACUUUCCAGAGAUGGAUUGGUGCCUUCGGGAACUCUGAGACAGGUGCUGCAUGGCUGUCGUCAGCUCGUGUUGUGAAAUGUUGGGUUAAGUCCCGCAACGAGCGCAACCCUUAUCCUUGUUUGCCAGCGAGUAAUGUCGGGAACUCCAGGGAGACUGCCGGUGAUAAACCGGAGGAAGGUGGGGACGACGUCAAGUCAUCAUGGCCCUUACGAGUAGGGCUACACACGUGCUACAAUGGCGCAUACAGAGGGCGGCCAACUUGCGAAAGUGAGCGAAUCCCAAAAAGUGCGUCGUAGUCCGGAUUGGAGUCUGCAACUCGACUCCAUGAAGUCGGAAUCGCUAGUAAUCGUGGAUCAGAAUGCCACGGUGAAUACGUUCCCGGGCCUUGUACACACCGCCCGUCACACCAUGGGAGUGGGCUGCAAAAGAAGUAGGUAGUUUAAC